CUACGGCUGGGGAGACUCCUAUCUCCGAUGUAUGGAUACAUCGCAUCAUCUUUUUCUUUCAGGUGGGUCGCUUCAACUCUUUAACUCGCUUCGAUUCUUUGCCGAGCUUACGCGGCCGGACUGACGGCCAGUUUAGAAGUCAUCUGGUUGGACAGUUGGCCGAUCGGACUGUUUCCGGCCCAAUAUGAUGACGAUCGGUGGCGGAUGAUUGCGUUCCGGAAAAAGGGGAAAGGAGGAGAGAGAAAGUGUUGCUAAAAUAAAGUAAAAUGUGUCGACUCCAAGGUCGUUGAACUAUUGUUUCGAUCCGAAGAGGCGCGCUUGGCCGGAUCGGCGCAGGAAAACUUACUCCGAUUACGUCGGAACCGUUUGUGUUCCCGCUUCGGAAAUCGUUGGGUUUAAACGCGGAUUCCGUCGAUUACGUGUUUUAUUUAGAAGGGCGAUAGUUAACGCCGAGGAAAGCCGUACCUUCGAUCGAUAAGAAAUGCCGACCUUGACCCUGCUACGAGUUCCGGCGUGACGUGUCCGAAGGUAGAUUUGAGUAAUCCGCCGUCUCGUCCAGGUUCGGUCGGUCCGUGCCGGGAUUUCCUUUACAAUUGACGUAGAUAAGAAAGCAGAAAAUGUCGAAUGUGCUAGGUUCGGUGACCUGUUCCAGAGCUAUAUCGACGAGUACGGCCGCCUUCCCAAACUUAAUCCGAUAUUCCAUCCGCCGACGCCUUCCAUGAGACCCAGGAAAAAUUUGGCUAACUACUUUUCUACUCGUCGAUUCUGGAUUCCAGCUCUAAAACCGUAUCCACGAACAGCGUUGUCGUCUGUGAGAUAUAUAUAUAUAACGAAAAUAUUUUGUUUGAUAAAUAACAAAGAGUAGGUUAUGUGAAUAGGAUUGUUAAAAAUUAUCUUUAAUAAGAUUGAAUGCAUAACAAUCGAUAAUUAUAGAGUAAAUGGCUAAUCGAUUUAGAGCAGAUAAGCGGGUCAAAUAUGGGUCAGUUUCAUUGAUUGCGUGUCAUUUUAAUUUAUAUCUAAAAUUGAAGGCUAGCGUUCUCCGUGCCCGACAAGGUCGUUUGAAGAACUUGCUAAAAACAAUAGACAGGAAGGUGAAAAUGGGUCGACCGACUACUUCCCGUCUCUUACUUCCUAAUGACGUACGUCCUCUGCUUCGGACGGAAGAGCAUCGCUGAUUCGGCUAUAAUAUCGUUUUGAUGUUUCCGGAAUACGUCUAUCGACGAAGUGUUGUUGUAUUCGAUGGAAAAGUCUGUAAAACGAAACUCGGAACAGAUAUUAAAAAAAUCAGAGAGAGAGAGAGAAAAGACCCGAUCGAUUAUUCCAUUAACAAAGUCGAGAGUAAUACGAUUUCGACUAAAACGGCCCUAAUUGGGACUGUUAUUCUGCUGGAAAAUUACCGAGUACGAGAAGCAUCGACGUUUUUGAAUAAGUAGGAGACGGCGAAAUGUGGAAAUGCGUUUAACUAGCCGGGGUGAAUGGCGGUUGGAAGUCAUGCAGAGAGAUGAUCCCGACAAUUCCCCCAUGCUUCCAAGGCAUUAGUGGGGCUUCUGUCUUUUUUUUUCUCUUUUCUUUUUUUCGGUAAGCUCGUAUUUUGCUAUUAUAAUGGUCUCUGCAGAAAAAUUCGAACCAUUCUCAUUUUUCUCUCGGUAUUGUAACUUCGCUUUUAAACGACUCCUCUGCCAUAUCUCGUAGCUGCAUGCGCUCUCGACGCUAUCUUCUGUCUUGCGCCCUAUUACGUGUCGUAGUACCCUCUAGCGGUGGUGGAUUCUGUGGGUUAUGUAGUUACGCCAUAGCUCGUUUUCUCUCUCUCUCUCUCUUUCUCUCCUAUAAAACAUCUAGCUCGUCUGACGCUU
rnacentral:lncRNA from 1 species